GUGCUUUCUUCGGCAGCACAUAUACUAAGAUUGGAACUAUACACGGAUUAGCAUGGUCCCUGCACAAGGAGUAGAUAAAAAAGAAGUCAGGGCCCAAGGAUAACU
rfam:Myotis brandtii contig284840, whole genome shotgun sequence.